AUGGAGACUCUGCUCAUCUUGAUCACUCUGAAACAAAGGCAGACAGAGGAGCUACCAUCUCAAAUGUAUCUGGCUAUUGUAUAGGAAGGAAAGGAGAAUAUAGGGUAGCAUGCAAUGGCUCUUAAAGCUUCUGCUCCCAAGGCUUUCACAUUUUGUUAGCCAAAGCAAGUCUCAUGGUGUGAUAUAUUUUUUUUUAAUGGCCACAAUAUUUUGCAGAUCCUCCAAUCAAGAAUUGAGCCUGUUUCUCCACCCCUUGACUCUGGGCUUAGCCAUGUGACUUACUUUAGCUGAUAGGACGUUAGCAAAUGUAACAUAAGCAGAGGCUUAAAAUAUGCUUGUGCAUUAGGGCUUGAUCUCUCCUAGUGCUUUUAGAACAGCCCAAGAUUGACCUAGAGGAUGACAGACCAUGUGGAGAGACCAUGAUGCUGUCCCAGCUAUUACAGCCAUCCCAGAUAUGUAAGAGAGGGAGAGAGACCCAAGAGGGAGAAGAGUUGGCUCUCAGUAGCUUUCCAUUCGGCUGAAAAAGGAACAGCUCUGGUUGCUACAACUAUGGUUGCUCCUUCUUGCCAUUUAUGGAUGGGGUGGCUGUUACUGCAGUCCACUAGUGCCCCCUAUUGUCCCCUUCAGGAAACUCACAGGGCAGCAUGAACGGCUAAACCUGGGCAUUCCUAUCACUUGUGCUAACAUUAGCCUGAUGAGGAAGAGGGCUGGAACCUGGGAGCCCGAAGCCCUUCUGCUUCUGCUGGAGGCUCAGAGAGCUCAACAUCCUCCAAGCACAUCACCUGCUGGAGGUCGGAUGCCAAGCCCAUACGUCUGAUGAGUGUGACCACUGAGGACUUCUGUUACUCAGCCUGGGGGAAGCUGAAGUGGUCUCUCCUCUGCACCCCACCAUGACUGCCUCCUUGGCAAGUAGAGAGCAGAUGUUUCUAACCCCAAGUCCAUCUUACUGCACCAAUCAGAAGCAAAAGAUACU